GACGAACGCUGGCGGCGUGCUUAACACAUGCAAGUCGAGCGGAAAGGCCCUUCGGGGUCCUCGAGCGGCGAACGGGUGAGUAACACGUGAGUAACCUGCCCUAGGCUUUGGGAUAACCCCGGGAAGCCGGGGCUAAUACCGGAUAUGACCUGGUGCCGCAUGGUGUUGGGUGGAAAGUUUUUUCGGCCUGGGAUGGGCUCGCGGCCUAUCAGCUUGUUGGUGGGGUGAUGGCCUACCAAGGCGAUGACGGGUAGCCGGCCUGAGAGGGCGACCGGCCACACUGGGACUGAGACACGGCCCAGACUCCUACGGGAGGCAGCAGUGGGGAAUAUUGCACAAUGGGCGGAAGCCUGAUGCAGCGACGCCGUGUGAGGGAUGAAGGCCUUCGGGUUGUAAACCUCUUUCAGCAGGGACGAAGCGUGAGUGACGGUACCUGCAGAAGAAGCGCCGGCCAACUACGUG
rnacentral:rRNA from 1 species